AAUUAUGGUGGGCUGAGUGAGAGCACUUCGGUGCGCCGUAUCCUUGGAAGCGGUAUGACUAAUCUUGCUCAGUUCGCCACCCAA
rnacentral:antisense_RNA from 15 species